UACGUAGGGGGCGAGCGUUGUCCGGAUUCAUUGGGCGUAAAGAGCUCGUAGGCGGUUCAGUAAGUCGGGUGUGAAAUCUCCGUGCUCAACACGGAGCGGCCACCUGAUACUGCUGUGACUCGAGUCCGGUAGGGGAGUGUGGAAUUCCCGGUGUAGCGGUGAAAUUCGUAGAUAUCGAGAGGAACACCGGUGGCGAAGGCGGCCAACUGGACGAAUACUGACGCUGAGACACGAAAGCGUGGGGAGCAAACAGG
rnacentral:rRNA from 1 species